AAUGUUAGCAGGCGAAUGUUAAUUUUAAUUAUGUUAUGUAAAAAUAUAUAAAAUUCUGAAUGUGUUUGUUUAGCUACAUCUAUUUUUUUAUGGUGUCCCAGACAACAACAUAGUUUACAACAUAUUUCAUAUUAGUAUUACUGUAAAAAAUGUUAGGUUUUGACCUGAAGUUUAACAGAAUGUAAACCUGCAGACUAUACACACUAGAGUUUUAGUGGUGGUUUUGUUUGAGCGAGAAAAUAAUUAAUGUAAUUUAAUUUGAAAGUUGUCGUUACCUGUAUUUUGCACCAAAGCAAUGAUAAAUGCUCCAGUUUAUCCCAGUAUGUGAAGAGUUUAGAAAAAGUUACAUAAGUAUAAUUGAGAAAUGUCCUAGCGAUUGUAAAAAAACCUGUAAAGGUCACUUUAUAAGCUAUAGAAAUUAUACAAAUGAACCACAUCGAUGACUUGCAUCACAUUUUUGACAUUAUAUCGCGCAGUAACAUGCCAGAUUCCCUCUUAUCCCUCAUCCUUCCCUCUUUUUCAAAAUGACCCGAAUCCCUAAAAUUAUACUUAAUUUUUUUUUUGUCCAGAAAGCUAAUUUUAUUCUGUUUUGAUAUUUUUGUUCUAUUUUUUUUAGUGCAUUUUUAAAAAAAAAAAAAUGUUAUUUUUUACCUUUAAAUUACUAGAUUUAUUAAAUAAAUAGUCAUUUAAGCACACUUGUCACAUAUAUCUUACAUUGAGUGUCUGUGCCCUCUUGUGGACAAUAAUAAUAACACAUGAUAUUUCAUGACUUAUACAGUUUCUUCAGUGUGCAUUCAGAAAGACAUACGUUUUAGCAUUUUUAGUUUGAAUUUUGACCUUUUUAGGUGUUUCUAUGUGCACCGAAACAUUAAAUUGACCCGUGAGGGAAGGACUUGUUACUUUUUUUAAAUUUCAACCACAAAACUCCUCUAAUACAUUCAAUAUUUGUGUGU